AUAUAUGCGCCAAUCUCUCUUUGCUCCUUCCAAGCCCUCAUGGCGGGUUCAAGACCCUCCUCUGUCUCUUCGCAGUCUUCUUCUCAGGCCUUCACUUCCCGUCUGUUAUUGCUUCUCACUCUCCUUCCCUUAACUCUUGCUGCCUUCGCUUUUGUUCUUCAAUGGCGUGGUGGAUUGACCGACCCCGUUUCUCGCUGGUCGCCCGACCACCACGAGUUUCCUGGAAUGGAAACCACCAGCUCCUCCACCGCUUCAUCAAGAACGAAGGAUUCCGGUUGUACGGAUCUUCUGGGUCGGAGCCAUUACCCGUCAUUUCCUUAUUACAGGAACUGGAAAUUCGAUUUCGGGUCUGAUCUGAAGCCCAAGAUAUGUAUAACUACAAGCACUUCUGCAGGCUUAGAUCAGACUUUGCCCUGGAUAUUUUAUCACAAAGUUAUUGGAGUUUCAUCCUUUUUCCUUUUCGUGGAGGGGAAGGCUACCUCUCCUAAUGUAUCUAAAGUUUUGGAAACAAUACCAGGUGUGAAAGUUAUAUACAGAACAAGAGAACUGGAGGAACAACAAGCUAGAAGCCGGAUCUGGAAUGAGACUUGGCUGGCAAGCUUCUUUUACAAACCAUGUAAUUAUGAAUUAUUUGUCAAGCAAUCCCUCAACAUGGAAAUGGCCAUUGUCAUGGCAAGGGAGGCUGGCAUGGAUUGGAUUAUCCAUCUUGAUACUGAUGAGCUAAUACAUCCUGCGGGAGCUCAUGAAUAUUCUUUGAGACAAUUGCUUUCAGAUGUGCCUGGAAACGUUGAUAUGGUCAUCUUUCCAAAUUAUGAGAGUAGUGUUGAGCGAGAUGAUGUCAAGGAGCCUUUCAGUGAGGUUUCAUUGUUCAAGAAGAACUAUGACCAUCUUCCAAAAGAUGUAUACUUUGGAAAUUAUAAAGAAGCAACUCGUGGUAAUCCAAACUAUUUUCUGACAUAUGGAAAUGGGAAAUCCGCAGCUCGAAUUCAAGAUCAUCUUCGCCCUAAUGGUGCACAUAGAUGGCAUAACUAUAUGAAGACUCCAAAUGAGAUCAAAUUGGAUGAGGCUGCUGUUCUGCAUUACACAUACCCAAAAUUUUCCGAUUUGACUUCAAGACGGGAUCGGUGUGGUUGCAAGCCUACAAAGGAUGAUGUUAAAAGAUGUUUUAUGUUGGAAUUUGACAGAGCUGCAUU
rnacentral:misc_RNA from 1 species